CUGACUCCCCGCGCAGGCCCCUCUCCUAGCGCUGAUUUUGAAAGCACAGAAAGUUAGCCUGACAAUCAACGCUCUCUUACUGCGCACGGACGACAUCUUUUUCUCAUCGAGGCCCGAUUCGACCGGCUCAGUGUUCCGCCACGUGGAAGUCGUCGCCCCUUCAGCCCUUCCCUCAGGCGAUUUAGUUUUUUUUUGCGCCGCUCUCUGUCCCCCUCCCUGCACAUUACGCCUAUCGUAGGCAUGUCCGACUUCGACGGGGAUCUGUCGAAUGUCCAUCCGCAGCUUUUGAAGCUGUGCGCUAACCCGGAGGAUUGGCGUGAGCAGCGGCGCCGCGCCAUGAAGGCAAAAAUCUUCGGCACCGGCGCUCAGGCGGGUGCCUCGCCCGCAGCGGAGACAUACCUGCCAACAGAUAGGACUGUCGGCCCGUCGCCGUCAUCCGCACAGCAGCCCUCUGCUUCCUCGUAUUCAGGUCAACAAGGUCCGGUGUCGCAACAGGCUGCGGAGUCGUAUAUCCUUCAGCAGAUCCUGUCGCACAAACGCCGUCGCGAGGAGGCGAACACCGAGAAGGCGAGCGCGCUCGCCAGCACACCUCAGCCGCAUCCGCAGCAGCCAAUGACUCAGCAGCAACAGAACCCCCCUUCUUCGCAGGGUCAGGAGCUCUCCUUGAAGGAGAAACUCAUGCGCAAGUACAGGAAAGGCUGAUCCCCAACGGCGUGCGCCAUCUCCUAUUGCAAGACUUUGCAUGCGUGUGUAUGCGAUUGUGUGUCUCUGUGUAUCCAUGUGCGGCUACGGUUGCGACUAUGCAAUAAGCGAAGAAAAAGAGACCCCAACGAGGAUCGAGGUAGAGGCGCAUCGGCUCCUUAUCUUGCCCCUCGACGGUGGAAUAGGCGAUCUGUCAAAGGGUCACCGUGUUGCCGCACUGCAGCCUGAUGUGUUGCAGCCGUCGGCGCGCACACGAUGCGUUGACAGGUGAGGAGGGCCAAUGCGCCGUACUCGUUUCAGGUGGAGGGAGCUUCAUCGCUUCCAAUCUUGUCUGUCCUGACUCGCCUGCCUGUACUUCCCUGAUGACUUUCAGCCGCUUUUGACUUGUAUGACCUUACCCCAUGAGUGUGCCGCUGGAAG
rnacentral:misc_RNA from 1 species